rnacentral:rRNA from 1 species
CAGCCGUAAACAAUGUGCGUUAGGUGUGUCGGUAACCACGCGUUACUGAUGCGCCGAAGAGAAAUCGUGAAACGCACCACCUGGGAAGUACGGUCGCAAGGCUGAAACUUAAAGGAAUUGGCGGGGGGAGCACCACAACAGGUGGAGCCUGCGGUUUAAUUGGAUUCAACGCCGGACAUCUCACCGGAUAAGACAGCUGAAUGAUUGUCAAUCUGAAGGUUUUACAUGACUAGCUGAGAGGUGGUGCAUGGCGUCAGUUGACU